rnacentral:rRNA from 1 species
GUAGGGAAUCUUCCACAAUGGACGAAAGUCUGACGGAGCAACGCCGCGUGAGUGAAGAAGGUUUUCGGAUCGUAAAGCUCUUUCGUUAGGGACGAACGUGCUCUUUGUGAAUAAUGAGGAGUAAUGACGGUACCUAAAUAAGAAGCCACGGCUAACUACGUGCCAGCAGCCGCGGUAAUACGUAGGUGGCAAGCGUUGUCCGGAAUUAUUGGGCGUAAAGCGCGCGCAGGCGGGAUAUCAAGUCUGUCUUAAAAGUGCGAGGCUCAACCUCGUGAGGGGACAGAAACUGGUAUUCUUGAGUGUCGGAGAGGAAAGUGGAAUUCCAAGUGUAGCGGUGAAAUGCGUAGAGAUUUGGAAGAACACCAGUGGCGAAGGCGACUUUCUGGACGAUGUCUGACGCUGAGGCGCGAAAGCUAGGGGAGCGAACGGGAUUAGAUACCCUUGUAGUCC